CCGCAAUGGACGAAAGUCUGACGGAGCAACGCCGCGUGAGUGAUGAAGGUUUUCGGAUCGUAAAACUCUGUUGUUAGGGAAGAACAAGUAUCGUUCGAAUAGGGCGGUACCUUGACGGUACCUAACCAGAAAGCCACGGCUAACUACGUGCCAGCAGCCGCGGUAAUACGUAGGUGGCAAGCGUUGUCCGGAAUUAUUGGGCGUAAAGCGCGCGCAGGCGGUUUCUUAAGUCUGAUGUGAAAUCUUGCGGCUCAACCGCAAGCGGCCAUUGGAAACUGGGAGACUUGAGUGCAGAAGAGGAGAGUGGAAUUCCACGUGUAGCGGUGAAAUGCGUAGAGAUGUGGAGGAACACCAGUGGCGAAGGCGACUCUCUGGUCUGUAACUGACGCUGAGGCGCGAAAGCGUGGGGAGCGAACAGGAUUAGAUACCCUGGUAGUCCACGCCGUAAACGAUGAGUGCUAAGUGUUAGAGGGUUUCCGCCCUU
rnacentral:rRNA from 1 species